rnacentral:snoRNA from 1 species
GUGCACAUUUCAUUGACUUUUUUAUGUCAGGAUGUGCUACACAAAUCUUUAGAGGUAAAUUAGCAGCAUGAUUAAUUUGGUCAUUGCUGUCAGUCACCUUCAGACAAGA